rnacentral:rRNA from 1 species
CACUCCUGCGGGAGGCAGCAGUGGGGAAUUUUGGACAAUGGGCGCAAGCCUGAUCCAGCCAUGCCGCGUGCGGGAAGAAGGCCUUCGGGUUGUAAACCGCUUUUGUCAGGGAAGAAAAGGUUCUGGCUAAUACCUGGGACUCAUGACGGUACCUGAAGAAUAAGCACCGGCUAACUACGUGCCAGCAGCCGCGGUAAUACGUAGGGUGCAAGCGUUAAUCGGAAUUACUGGGCGUAAAGCGUGCGCAGGCGGUUAUGCAAGACAGAGGUGAAAUCCCCGGGCUCAACCUGGGAACUGCCUUUGUGACUGCAUGGCUAGAGUACGGUAGAGGGGGAUGGAAUUCCGCGUGUAGCAGUGAAAUGCGUAGAUAUGCGGAGGAACACCGAUGGCGAAGGCAAUCCCCUGGACCUGUACUGACGCUCAUGCACGAAAGCGUGGGGAGCAAACAGGAUUAGAAACCCCUGUAGUCCCC